UACGGGGGGGGUAAGCGUUGUUCGGAAUUACUGGGCGUAAAGGGCUCGUAGGCGGCCAACUAAGUCAGACGUGAAAUCCCUCAGCUUAACUGGGGAACUGCGUCUGAUACUGGAUGGCUUGGAUUCGGGAGAGGAAUGCGGAAUUCCAGGUGUAGCGGUGAAAUGCGUAGAUAUCUGGAGGAACACCGGUGGCGAAGGCGGCAUUCUGGGACCGAUAUUGACGCUGAGGAGCGAAAGCCAGGGGAGCAAACGGG
rnacentral:rRNA from 1 species